rnacentral:rRNA from 1 species
AUGAGACUCUUGCUUCCCUUUGAAAGAGGCAGACCCCUACUUCAAUUGUCAUCUGACGCCUCUAUCCCAGCUGUGGACUCAGACCUCUCACAACCAAAAAAAAGAAAAUCAAAAUCAAACGAAUCCGAAUAUAACCAAUCUAUCGCCUUUGAUGACUCGUUGACAGCCUCCUCAACCCAAGCUUCCAUCUCCUGCUCCAGACAUCGGCGCUUGCCCGCGCCAGUCCAUGAAAGGUGGAUGAAGGUGAGUUUGACUACGAACUCGAGGAUGCUGGGAACGAUCUCUUUUCAGGGAAUCACUCCCGUCGAGAGGCCCUCUUCCUCCCUUUUUCUGAAUCUGGUAGAGAGGCAAAAGAGAAGUCCAGAGAGACCUCGACUCUUUCAGGGAAAGGAGGGAGAUCGAAUGCGAGAUGGAGUCCCUGCCGAAUGGAAUGGACAUCCUUGGGGACAGCUGUGUAAGACUUAA